AGCGAACGCUGGCGGCAGGCCUAACACAUGCAAGUCGAGCGGCCGUAGCAAUACGGCAGCGGCAGACGGGAGAGUAACACGUGGGAACGCGCCCUUCGGUUCGGAAUAACUCAGGGAAACUUGAGCUAAUACCGGAUACGCCCUAACGGGGAAAGAUUUAUUGCCGAAGGAACGGCCCGCGUCCGAUUAGCUAGUUGGUGAGGUAACGGCUCACCAAGGCGACGAUCGGUAGCUGGUCUGAGAGGAUGACCAGCCUCAUUGGGACUGAGACACGGCCCAAACUCCUACGGGAGGCAGCAGUGGGGAAUAUUGGACAAUGGGCGCAAGCCUGAUCCAGCCAUGCCGCGUGGAUGAUGAAGGCCCUAGGGUUGUAAAGUCUUUAACGGGAAGAUAAUGACGGUACCCGUAGAAGAAGCCCCGGCUAACUUCGUGCCA
rnacentral:rRNA from 1 species